rnacentral:rRNA from 1 species
CCUACGGGAGGCAGCAGUGGGGAAUAUUGCGCAAUGGGGGAAACCCUGACGCAGCAACGCCGCGUGAGUGAGGAAGGACUUCGGUCUGUAAAGCUCUGUUAAUGUGGAAAAAUGGUUAGUGGUCUAAUAGGCCAUUGAUUUGAUGGUACACAUAGAGGAAGCACCGGCUAACUUCGUGCCAGCAGCCGCGGUAAUACGAGGGGUGCAAGCGUUGUUCGGAUUUAUUGGGCGUAAAGCGCGCGUAGGCGGACCUGCAAGUCAGAUGUGAAAUCUCGGGGCUCAACCUCGAAACUGCGUCUGAAACUACAGGUCUAGAAUCUUGGAGGGGGAAGGGGAAUUUCUCAUGUAGGGGUAAAAUCCGUAGAUAUGAGAAGGAACACCAGGGGCGAAGGCGCCUUCCUGGACAAGUAUUGACGCUGAGGCGCGAAAGCGUGGGGAUCAAACAGGAUUAGAUACCCUGGUAGUCCACGCUGUAAACGAUGAAUACUAGAUAUUGCAGGAUUUGACCCCUGCAGUGUCGUAGCUAACGCGUUAAGUAUUCCGCCUGGGAAGUACGGUCGCAAGACUAAAACUCAAAGGAUUGACGG